UACAGGGGGGGCAAGCGUUGUUCGGAAUUACUGGGCGUAAAGGGCUCGUAGGCGGCCAACUAAGUCAGACGUGAAAUCCCUCGGCUUAACCGGGGAACUGCAUCUGAUACUGGAUGGCUUGAGUUCGGGAGAGGGAUGCGGAAUUCCAGGUGUAGCGGUGAAAUGCGUAGAUAUCUGGAGGAACACCGGUGGCGAAGGCGGCAUCCUGGACCGACACUGACGCUGAGGAGCGAAGCCAGGGAGCAAACGGG
rnacentral:rRNA from 1 species